ensembl:lncRNA
UUCUCAAAUUUCAUUAAAAAUAGGACAUUUAGAGACAUUUAUUAGAUGUUUUUGUCAAUUUUUCAAGAUUUCACCUCAAUCGUUAUACUGUCAGUUAUGGGGAUAUUGAUGGUGUUUGGAUUCCUAUUGUUAAUUUACUACAGAUUCAGACGAAAGAAAGAAGCAGUGCGGCUGAAAGGAGAUGUUCUUGUCUUGGCUGAAAAUCUGUCCACUAAAGAAGUGAGUUUCAUCAUGUGUCCGUUUGAGGCCACUCAUAUUGUCUGUAAUUAUGAAGAGAUUGUUUGCACAGAUAACCAUGGCUACAGUUUGGGCCUUCCUCUAUUUGAUGAACAUGACUCUUAUAAUACUCUUGACUAUUCCACCGUCAUAUUUCAAAGUAUGGGCUGUGAAAGUAAA